rnacentral:rRNA from 2 species
AAUCCAUAGGUUAAUGAGGCGAACCGGGGGAACUGAAACAUCUAAGUACCCCGAGGAAAAGAAAUCAACCGAGAUUCCCCCAGUAGCGGCGAGCGAACGGGGAGGAGCCCAGAGCCUGAAUCAGCAUGUGUGUUAGUGGAAGCGUCUGGAAAGGCGCGCGAUACAGGGUGACAGCCCCGUACACAAAAGCGCAUGUGCUGUGAGCUCGAUGAGUAGGGCGGGACACGUGGUAUCCUGUCUGAAUAUGGGGGGACCAUCCUCCAAGGCUAAAUACUCCUGACUGACCGAUAGUGAACCAGUACCGUGAGGGAAAGGCGAAAAGAACCCCGGCGAGGGGAGUGAAAAAGAACCUGAAACCGUGUACGUACAAGCAGUGGGAGCACCCUUUGGGUGUGACUGCGUACCUUUUGUAUAAUGGGUCAGCGACUUAUAUUCUGUAGCAAGGUUAACCGAAUAGGGGAGCCGGAGGGAAACCGAGUCUUAAUUGGGCGUUAAGUUGCAGGGUAUAGACCCGAAACCCGGUGAUCUAGCCAUGGGCAGGUUGAAGGUUGGGUAACACUAACUGGAGGACCGAACCGACUAAUGUUGAAAAAUUAGCGGAUGACCUGUGGCUGGGGGUGAAAGGCCAAUCAAACCGGGAGAUAGCUGGUUCUCCCCGAAAGCUAUUUAGGUAGCGCCUCGUGAAUUCAUCUCCGGGGGUAGAGCACUGUUUCGGCUAGGGGGCCAUCCCGGCUUACCAACCCGAUGCAAACUGCGAAUACCGGAGAAUGUUAUCACGGGAGACACACGGCGGGUGCUAACGUCCGUCGUGAAGAGGGAAACAACCCAGACCGCCAGCUAAGGUCCCAAAGUCAUGGUUAAGUGGGAAACGAUGUGGGAAGGCCCAGACAGCCAGGAUGUUGGCUUAGAAGCAGCCAUCAUUUAAAGAAAGCGUAAUAGCUCACUGGUCGAGUCGGCCUGCGCGGAAGAUGUAACGGGGCUAAACCAUGCACCGAAGCUGCGGCAGCGACACUGUGUGUUGUUGGGUAGGGGAGCGUUCUGUAAGCCUGCGAAGGUGGCCUGUGAGGGUUGCUGGAGGUAUCAGAAGUGCGAAUGCUGACAUAAGUAACGAUAAAGCGGGUGAAAAGCCCGCUCGCCGGAAGACCAAGGGUUCCUGUCCAACGUUAAUCGGGGCAGGGUGAGUCGACCCCUAAGGCGAGGCCGAAAGGCGUAGUCGAUGGGAAACGGGUUAAUAUUCCCGUACUUGGUGUUACUGCGAAGGGGGGACGGAGAAGGCUAUGUUGGCCGGGCGACGGUU